GAUGAACGCUAGCUACAGGCUUAACACAUGCAAGUCGAGGGGCAUCAGGAAGAAAGCUUGCUUUCUUUGCUGGCGACCGGCGCACGGGUGAGUAACACGUAUCCAACCUGCCCUUUACUCGGGGAUAGCCUUUCGAAAGAAAGAUUAAUACCCGAUGGCAUAAUGAUUCCGCAUGGUUUCAUUAUUAAAGGAUUCCGGUAAAGGAUGGGGAUGCGUUCCAUUAGGUUGUUGGUGAGGUAACGGCUCACCAAGCCUUCGAUGGAUAGGGGUUCUGAGAGGAAGGUCCCCCACAUUGGAACUGAGACACGGUCCAAACUCCUACGGGAGGCAGCAGUGAGGAAUAUUGGUCAAUGGGCGCUAGCCUGAACCAGCCAAGUAGCGUGAAGGAUGAAGGCUCUAUGGGUCGUAAACUUCUUUUAUAUAAGAAUAAAGUGCAGUAUGUAUACUGUUUUGUAUGUAUUAUAUGAAUAAGGAUCGGCUAACUCCGUGCCAGCAGCCGCGGUAAUACGGAGGAUCCGAGCGUUAUCCGGAUUUAUUGGGUUUAAAGGGAGCGUAGGUGGACUGGUAAGUCAGUUGUGAAAGUUUGCGGCUCAACCGUAAAAUUGCAGUUGAUACUGUCAGUCUUGAGUACAGUAGAGGUGGGCGGAAUUCGUGGUGUAGCGGUGAAAUGCUUAGAUAUCACGAAGAACUCCGAUUGCGAAGGCAGCUCACUGGACUGCAACUGACACUGAUGCUCGAAAGUGUGGGUAUCAAACAGGAUUAGAUACCCUGGUAGUCCACACAGUAAACGAUGAAUACUCGCUGUUUGCAAUAUACAGUAAGCGGCCAAGCGAAAGCAUUAAGUAUUCCACCUGGGGAGUACGCCGGCAACGGUGAAACUCAAAGGAAUUGACGGGGGCCCGCACAAGCGGAGGAACAUGUGGUUUAAUUCGAUGAUACGCGAGGAACCUUACCCGGGCUUAAAUUGCAGUGGAAUGAUGUGGAUACAUGUCAGUGAGCAAUCACCGCUGUGAAGGUGCUGCAUGGUUGUCGUCAGCUCGUGCCGUGAGGUGUCGGCUUAAGUGCCAUAACGAGCGCAACCCUUAUCUUUAGUUACUAACAGGUUAUGCUGAGGACUCUAGAGAGACUGCCGUCGUAAGAUGUGAGGAAGGUGGGGAUGACGUCAAAUCAGCACGGCCCUUACGUCCGGGGCUACACACGUGUUACAAUGGGGGGUACAGAAGGCAGCUAGCGGGUGACCGUAUGCUAAUCCCAAAAGCCUCUCUCAGUUCGGAUCGAAGUCUGCAACCCGACUUCGUGAAGCUGGAUUCGCUAGUAAUCGCGCAUCAGCCACGGCGCGGUGAAUACGUUCCCGGGCCUUGUACACACCGCCCGUCAAGCCAUGGGAGCCGGGGGUACCUGAAGUACGUAACCGCAAGGAUCGUCCUAGGGUAAAACUGGUGACUGGGGC
rnacentral:rRNA from 1 species